rnacentral:rRNA from 1 species
AGUGAACGCUGGCGGUAGGCCUAACACAUGCAAGUCGAACGGCAGCACAGUAAGAGCUUGCUCUUACGGGUGGCGAGUGGCGGACGGGUGAGGAAUACAUCGGAAUCUACUUUUUCGUGGGGGAUAACGUAGGGAAACUUACGCUAAUACCGCAUACGACCUACGGGUGAAAGCAGGGGAUCUUCGGACCUUGCGCGAUUGAAUGAGCCGAUGUCGGAUUAGCUAGUUGGCGGGGUAAAGGCCCACCAAGGCGACGAUCCGUAGCUGGUCUGAGAGGAUGAUCGGCCACACUGGAACUGAGACACGGUCCAGACUCCUACGGGAGGCAGCAGUGGUGAAUAUUGGACAAUGGGCGCAAGCCUGAUCCAGCCAUACCGCGUGGGUGAAGAAGGCCUUCGGGUUGUAAAGCCCUUUUGUUGGGAAAGAAAAGCAGCAGGUUAAUACCCCGCUGUUCUGACGGUACCCAAAGAAUAAGCACCGGCUAACUUCGUG